GAUGAACGCUGGCGGCGUGCCUAAUACAUGCAAGUCGAGCGAACAGACGAGGAGCUUGCUCCUCUGACGUUAGCGGCGGACGGGUGAGUAACACGUGGAUAACCUACCUAUAAGACUGGGAUAACUUCGGGAAACCGGAGCUAAUACCGGAUAAUAUAUUGAACCGCAUGGGUCAAUAGUGAAAGACGGUUUUGCUGUCACUUAUAGAUGGAUCCGCGCCGCAUUAGCUAGUUGGUAAGGUAACGGCUUACCAAGGCAACGAUGCGUAGACGACCUGAGAGGGUGAUCGGCCACACUGGAACUGAGACACGGUCCAGACUCCUACGGGAGGCAGCAGUAGGGAAUCUUCCGCAAUGGGCGAGAGCUUGACGGAGCAACGCCGCGUGAGUGAUGAAGGUCUUCGGAUCGUAAAACUCUGUUAUUAGGGAAGAACAAAUGUGUAAGUAACUAUGCACGUCUUGACGGUACCUAAUCAGAAAGCCACGGCUAACUACGUG
rnacentral:rRNA from 1 species